rnacentral:rRNA from 1 species
AACGAACGCUGGCGGCAUGCCUAACACAUGCAAGUCGAACGAGACCUUCGGGUCUAGUGGCGCACGGGUGCGUAACGCGUGGGAACCUGCCCUUAGGUUCGGAAUAACUCCCCGAAAGGGGUGCUAAUACCGGAUAAUGUCUUCGGACCAAAGAUUUAUCGCCUUUAGAUGGGCCCGCGUUGGAUUAGCUAGUUGGUAGGGUAAAAGCCUACCAAGGCGACGAUCCAUAGCUGGUCUGAGAGGAUGAUCAGCCACACUGGGACUGAGACACGGCCCAGACUCCUACGGGAGGCAGCAGUGGGGAAUAUUGGACAAUGGGCGAAAGCCUGAUCCAGCAAUGCCGCGUGAGUGAUGAAGGCCUUAGGGUUGUAAAGCUCUUUUACCCGGGAUGAUAAUGACAGUACCGGGAGAAUAAGCGCCGGCUAACUCCGUG